ensembl:lncRNA
UACAGUUUUGGAACUACAUGAGGGUGAGUAAAUGAUCACGGAAUGUUAUUUUUGGAUGAACUAUCCCUUUAAUAGAUUUGAGUUUCAUGAAAUAGCUUGUUGUGCCAUGUGCCUUUGGUCAGUUUUAUUCUGUUUCCUUUAGGUGGGAGCAAAUGUGUAUGACUGGCAUGCUGGUGUGUCUCUGCAUCCGUUUUGUGCCAUUUUUGAUGACAUGCCAGUCAUUUCGAGAACCAAGUCCCUGCGUGCCAUCACAGUACCCUACAGAAUCUACUCGACAUAUGUCCCUUUGGGAGCUGGGUCCACAACUGUCCACCCAACUUACGCCUGCACCUCAGCAGCUGAGCCACACUUCCCCGGGUCAGUGAGGACAGAGUCGUUGGCACAUACAACACCUCAUCACAUUUGUCGUUCCGUAAGGGAAUGCUUCCGGGAUGUGUGGCAUCCAAAACCGAAAACGAAUGGUGGGACAGAUAUCUCAGAUCCAGUGUUGAUGUCUUGCAUAAGAAAGCUACAUCAUACUAAGAAAGAAACAUCAUCUUGGCCCAACUGAAAGACAAUCUGACAACCAGACUGGUUUAAGUGGCUUUUUGCAGCAGGGAAAAGAACAAUUUAACAAAAUGUGAGUUUAUAGUGGGUGCGGCUCUGCUGCACUAAUCAGUAUCAUACAGAUUCUUGUGGAUUUACUCUGUUCGUCACUUAUCUAUCUCCGGCUUCUUUAAAGAUUAAAUUCCAGCAACCCCUGGGAGUUUGGACCCUGGCACAGGCUCAUGGAGAUGCCGGUUGAGGGGGCUUGGCAGAACAGCAAGGUCAGCAGAUCUGUCGUGCCGCAGUGGCUCGGAGGACUCAGCCCAUUCCCACCUCUGGCCAGUAAUCCGCCCCAGCAUCCGCCACAGUCCAACCAGACACAUCCGCAGCUGUGCCAAACUAUUCUAACAUAUCCAGCAAGUGAGAAAUGCAAUGCAUUCAGUUUUAAUGCAUUCAGUUUUAAUGCAUUAAGUUCCUCUUUUAAGGAAUGAAAGCAAAAUAAAAUAUAGCAAAGAUGUUUUAUUGAUGUCUUC